rnacentral:rRNA from 1 species
UACGUAGGGGGCAAGCGUUGUCCGGGAAUUAUUGGGCGUAAAGCGCGUGUAGGCGGUCCGGUAAGGUCGGCUGUGAAAGUCCAGGGCUCAACCCUGGGAUGCCGGUCGAUACUGACCGGGACUAGAGUUCGGAAGAGGCGAGUGGAAUUCCCGGUGUAGUGGUGGAAUGGCGAUAGAUAUCGGGAGGAACACCAGUGGCGAAGGCGGUUGCCUGGAGCUUUGCGUGACGCUGAUGCGCGAAAGCGUGGGGAGCGAGUCCGGA